rnacentral:tRNA from 2 species
GUCGGUGUGAUGGAAUUGGCAGACGUGACGGACUCAAAAUCCGUUGGUAGCGAUACCGUGCGGGUUCAAGUCCCGCCACCGGCACCA